rnacentral:rRNA from 1 species
UGGGGAAUAUUGGACAAUGGGGGCAACCCUGAUCCAGCAAUGCCGCGUGUGUGAAGAAGGCCUUCGGGUUGUAAAGCACUUUAGGCGGGGAAGAAGGUUACUAGUUUAAGAGAUGAGUAACUUGACUGUACCCGCAGAAUAAGCACCGGCUAACUCUGUGCCAGCAGCCGCGGUAAUACAGAGGGUGCAAGCGUUAAUCGGAUUUACUGGGCGUAAAGGGCGCGUAGGUGGUGGCGUAAGUGAGAUGUGAAAUCCCCGGGCUUAACCUGGGACGUGCAUCUUAGACUGCGUCGCUGGAGUGUUGUAGAGGGUAGUGGAAUUUCCGGUGUAGCGGUGAAAUGCGUAGAUAUCGGAAGGAACACCAGUGGCGAAGGCGGCUACCUGGACAAACACUGACACUGAGGCGCGAGAGCGUGGGGAGCAAACAG